UACGUAGGGGGCUAGCGUUGUCCGGAAUCAUUGGGCGUAAAGCGCGCGUAGGUGGCCUCAUAAGUCCGCUGUGAAAGUCAAAGGCUCAACCUUUGAAAGCCGGUGGAUACUGUGAGGCUAGAGUACGGAAGAGGCGAGUGGAAUUCCUGGUGUAGCGGUGGAAUGCGCAGAUAUCAGGAGGAACACCGGUGGCGAAGGCGGAUCUCUGGGCCAUAACUGACGCUGAGGAGCGAAAGCAUGGGGAGCGAACAGG
rnacentral:rRNA from 1 species